rnacentral:rRNA from 1 species
UACGUAGGGAGCAAGCGUUGUUCGGAAUUACUGGGCGUAAAGCGCACGUAGGCGGAUUUGUAAGUCAGGGGUGAAAUCCCGAGGCUCAACCUCGGAACUGCCUUUGAUACUGCAAAUCUCGAGUCCGGAAGAGGUGAGUGGAAUUCCUAGUGUAGAGGUGAAAUUCGUAGAUAUUAGGAAGAACACCAGUGGCGAAGGCGGCUCACUGGUCCGGUACUGACGCUGAGGUGCGAAAGCGUGGGGAGCAAACAGG